GCAGGCUGCUCCGACUGAAGUUUGAUGGAAUAGUGACUGGGAGAUGAGUUUUCCUGAGGAACGCUGGAACGACUCAGCAACUUACCAUCAUAAGCUGUGAAGAAAGACAAGAGGAGACCUAUAUAUUACUGCUAUCAUGUGCAGUUCUGGGCAUCUAUACAUGAUGAAAAGAUUGAACGGGAAUUUUAAGCCAGGAACCCUCAACUUUGAUGAUAGGCCCCUUAUGACGGACCACCUUCCUAAAAGGAAGCUACAUAGUAUCUCUACCCUCUCCUCGCUGGGCAUCAAAGGAACUGUGCUUGACUGGUUUAAGUCCUAACUAUCAGCCCAACGACACCACAGUGACUGAUCGAAUUUCAGCCUGCCUGGCAGACAUCUCGGCCUGGAUGAAGGAACACACCACCUGCAACUUGACCCAGCCAAGACUGAACUCCUUGUCUUUCCAGCCAACCCUGCUGUUGAACACAACAUCACUGUGCAGCUGGGUGCAACUACAGUAACACCUUCCAAAUUAGUCUGAAAUCUAGGGGUAACAAUCGACAACAGACUAAAUUUCACAGACCACAUCUCAAAGACUGCAAGAUCAUGUAGAUUUACACUCUACAAUAUCUGGAAGAUAAGAUCCUUCCUCUCUGAACAUGCCACACAACUGCUUGUCCAGUCACUUGUCAUAACUAGACUGGACUACUGUAACGCUCUCAUUGCAGGCCUCCCUGCAUGUGCAAUUAGACCCCUGCAAAUGAUCCAGAAUGCAGCAGCACGUCUGGUCUUUAAUGAACCAAAGAGAGCGCAUGUUACACCACUCCUUGUCUCUCUCCACUGGCUGCCGGUUGAUGCACGUAUCAAAUACAAGGCUCUGAUGCUGGCAUACAGAACAGUCACUGGGUCUGCUCCAGCAUACCUAAAAUCAUUUAUGUAGAGCUACGCACCCACUAGAAGCCUGCGGUCGGCUAAGGAACAUCGCCUUGUUGUACCAACACAAACAGGCACCAAAACACUUACCCGGACCUGGGGGUCACCAAACCCCUGACUUAAUAGAUCCAGACCAAAAAAAAAAAAAAAAAGAAAGAAAGAAAAGUGCCACGUCAUUGACCAUUAUAGAAAAUGCAUGCAAAAAUUACAUACAGUAGAUCUCCUAUGUCUCAAUUCACAACAGACGGCCCCCACGCACUACUCCUUACUGCCUGGAGGGGGUGCUAUUUCAUGAAUGUACAGCACAUAUGGAAGUCUGCUUUUUUACACAGUCACGAAA